rnacentral:rRNA from 1 species
GACGAACGCUGGCGGCGUGCUUAACACAUGCAAGUCGAACGGAAAGGCCCCUUUGGGGGUACUCGAGUGGCGAACGGGUGAGUAACACGUGAGUAACCUGCCCUUGACUUCGGGAUAACUUCAGGAAACUGGGGCUAAUACCGGAUAGGAAUCCUUGCUGCAUGGUGGGGGUUGGAAAGCUUCGGCGGUUUUGGAUGGACUCGCGGCUUAUCAGCUUGUUGGUGGGGUAGUGGCUUACCAAGGCUUUGACGGGUAGCCGGCCUGAGAGGGCGACCGGCCACAUUGGGACUGAGAUACGGCCCAGACUCCGACGGGAGGCAGAAGUGGGGAAGAUUGCACAAUGGGCGGAAGCCUGAUGCAGCAACGCCGCGUGCGGGAUGACGGCCUUCGGGUUGUAAACCGCUUUCAGCAGGGGCGAAGCUUGUGGUGACGGUACCUGCAGAAGAAGCACCGGCUAACUACGUG